rnacentral:misc_RNA from 1 species
AGCAGCCGCGGUAAUUCCAGCUCCAAUAGCGUAUAUUAAAGUUGUUGCAGUUAAAAGCUCGUAGUUGAAUUUCGGGAUCAAUAUGUUGGUCGUGCCUCGGUACGUACUAGCUUAUUGGUUUCUCCUUUCUGAAGAACCAUGAUGUCAUUUAUUUGGUGUCGUGGGGAAUCAGGACUGUUACUUUGAAGAAAUUAGAGUGUUUAAAGCAGGCUCACGCUUGAAUACAUUAGCAUGGAAUAAUGAAAUAGGACGUUUGAUUCUAUUUUGUUGGUUUCUAGGAUCGACGUAAUGAUUAAUAGGGAUAGUUGGGGGCAUUAGUAUUCAAUUGUCAGAGGUGAAAUUCUUGGAUUUAUUGAAGACUAACUACUGCGAAAGCAUUUGCCAAGGAUGUUUUCAUUAAUCAAGACGAAAGUUAGGGGAUCGAAGACGAUCAGAUACCGUCGUAGUCUUAACCAUAAACUAUGCCGACUAGGGAUCGGAUGAUGUUAAUUUUUAAUGA